rfam:Stegodyphus mimosarum contig101640, whole genome shotgun sequence.
GCCUUCGUGGUGUAAUGGUCAGCACACUGAGCCGGUAAUUUAGAGGUCCGUGGUUCGAUUCCCGGCGAAGGCG